GUAACCUUUGUAGGGCACAUUGAAAAGAAAAUAGGAAAAUAAAAGAAGUUGACCGAAAACUCUAAAAACGAAGGGGAGAGAGGACAAGAGGUAGAGAGGCGAAAAUGCCAUUGGGAAAAUAUUACUGUGAUUACUGCGACAAAUAUUUCCAGGACACUCCUUCUGCUAGGAAACGCCAUCUUCAAGGUCUCCAGCACCUCAGAGCCAAAGCUCUCUGGUACGACUCCUUCAAAGAUCCCCAUCAACCUUAUGCUGAAAGCUUCGGCAAAGGGGUUUGCAACCGCUUUGUCAAUACGGGAUUUUGCCAAUAUGGGGAUUCUUGCAGAUACGUUCAUCCCAUGAACAGGAUGCAGAAUUUGAAUCCUCAAGGGAUAUCGGGUUUCGCUGAUAGUAGUCAGCUACCAACUUUUCAAGGAAAUCAAUUAUUUGGAGGUAGCUCUGUGCCAGGUGAUAUGGUUAGAGAUAGAAUGGGAAUGUCAUGGGGUAAUCUACCUCCAUCACUAAAGCCUCCUCCAGAGUGCGGAUAUCCGAUGUUUCCCUUUGUGGACUGGGGUUAGGCGUGCUGAGUUGUUUGUCUAUAAUUUUUCAUAGUGAGAAUCAUCUGAUGAAUGUUAGCAUUCUACAUGUGAGGGGGUCAGUUGUGCUUCAGCACAACAGAAAAGACAAAGGCAAGGCUGGCAAACAGCAUGCACAUUGCUGUCAAAAUGAGAAUGUCUGCGCCUAUUCUUUCGUGGCGUAGGCUUCUCACUGAUGCCAUACAUAAGAUCCAUCUGGAAAUAUUGGGCACUUGCAAGCUGAUGUGCAGUUUUUUGUAUCACAGUAAAAACUGAUUGAGGUCAGUGCAUUCAUUGCAUAUUGGAAUGGGUUGCUCCAAUACAUCCACUGGUAGAAUUUUAUAUCUGAUAGCACAACUACUACCCCAGAAGCAGAAACCCAGAGUGAUGUCACGAUGGACAUGGCAAAUGCAGCUAAUGUUGGCACUGGUGAUAGGAAGGUGAUCAUCAUUCCAAAGUAGGUCAUGCAAAGUGUGAAAAUCAAAAGCACUAUCCAAUACAUUAGGAGUUCUGCGGCAGAUCCUGUCCCAGUACCUGCCAUGCCAUUCCCAAUUGCUACAGCUGCAAGUGUUGCGAAGCAGAUGUAAGGAAUCUCACCCAUUGCCCAUGAUCAUGGAUAGAAGAUUGGAAGAUACAUUCCAGCUCUUUUUUCUCUCAAGUAUACUAACUUGUCUGUGCCAAGCUGGGGAAUAACAUUGUUUGCUGAAAUCACUCCUAUGAGUAUAACUUGCAUGUAGAUGUAUAAUGCUCGUGAAGUUACCCUAUAUUCGUCCUUAUAUCCAAUUUGGAAGUACAGGGAACCCAUUAGAAGACCUAUCAUCACGCACACUAUAAGUCUACCAUAUGUAUAUUGGAUGUUCCUCCAUAACAAUCUUAAUGUUCUUAGUAGUACUAAAAGGGCUUGCUGUAAAUAUGGAGCUGGGUAACUAGAAGAUUUAUCCACCAUUUCUCUGUUCUUCAUCAACUCUUUUAUACUGAGAAUUUUUUUAUUGUUUAUCUCAUGUAAAGAGCUUUCUUGAUAGACCUCAGCGAAAUUCAUUUGAGGUGAUGCCUCUCUAUUUAAAUUCCUAAUCCCAGAGCUCCCACGACAAAUUGAACUGGACUUUCUCUUGUGGAAUAACGAGGUGCCAUUGGGAUUGAUGUGAAAUAUGCUAACAAUUUGUGGCAGUUAGAUCCUGUUGGCCCAAAGUAUGCUUGAUUUCCUUCUCCUGUUAGAAUGAGAACCUGAUCAAAGAAAGAGAGUGUGCGUGCAUUAGGAUGUGAUAGAGAGGCAACAAUGACUCGCCCUGAAUUUGACACUUGUGAGAAUUCUGAGGAUGGAUUGGAUUUCUGUGAUAUCGAGACCUGAAAGUGGUUCUUCAAGAAGGAUAAGACUUGGAUUUGCGGCCAGUUCAACUGCAAUAGUUAUCUUUUUGGCUAUUUCAAAUGUCUUUCUGGUGGCAUCAUGAAGAGAACCAACAAGUUUGUUGGUGUAGGGCAGUAAAUCAAGUUGAUUCAGAACCAGUUCAACAUGGAUUUGGUGGCUCAUGGGGCUAAUUCCUUGGUCAAGGCGAAGUGCGGCACUGAAUUAAAGAGACUCACGAAGAGAGAGGUAAUGUUGGUGGGCAUCAAGCUUCUCAACAUAGCCUGUCAAUCUAGAGAAGGUUGCACUUAUCUUGAUACCAUUUGCCUGGAGGUUUCCUCUGAUGCUUCCAGUUAGAGGUGCACCAGGUGUGAAGUUGGGAAAGGAUGUAGUAAGUAGACUUCAUAGUUUAAAGGAUAAAGUACUAGACCUUGAGAAAGAUAAUUCCUCAAAUAGAAGGGUAACUGGCUUCACUGGAAUGCCUAGCCCCUUUCUUUCCAGGUCAACACGAAAGUCCUCAAUCCAUUUCUCGACUCCACCACUAUUAUCAUCUUGUUGUAGCCUCUCUUUGAAGUUUGUGGUCCAUAACAGCUAGAAGAACUGUAAUCAUCAGAUUGCUCCUUAUGGCUACUGUUUGGUUGAAAUUCACUUUCCCUGUCUUUCUUAUAGUUGCUAAGCACUGGACUGUUUUUAAGGUGGGGUAGUCCUGGGCUCAUUCCAGUAAAAUCUAUUUUCUUCAAUCCUAACAGUGUUAACAAAUUUGCAAGAACAAUCCAACCCAAGAGAAUGGCAAAAGGUAGCCAUGGUCUCUCAGCAUCUUCGUAAGCUCAUAAAAAUUCAGGUAGGCAUUUCCAACUGUCAUUGUAUGAUGUUUGUCACAGAAAGAAAGUUGACCAAGGUAGUUGGAGCAGGGCUCUUUGUAGUCCUUGUAAAAUUGGGUUCUGCAAAAUGAGACAUUAGCCCAGUGAAUUGGGUUCACAUAAGUAAGCCAUUUCCAGUAUGUUGGUAUAUUGGAUGGGUAGAUCACAAAGCCACUGAAGAGUAGGAAGAUUGAAACAAGUAGACCUGCAACAGUGCAUUGUUGGAAGUGUCAGUAUGUAGUUGAUAGAUUAGAGGGUUAAACAGUAUCAACUUAAAGGAUUAAAACAUAAUCUGAUGUACUACUAAGGUAGUUGGGUUUACAUAUUAAUGAUAAAUUAAAUGCUUAAAAGCUAUUUAUGGAUAAGACUUGACUGCUGGAGUACUCAUGGUGUGUGAAAGAAGACCCACCAUCCCUACCAUGUAACUUCAGAUAUGCUAACUGCUUGUGUUAACGCUUCAGUUAGUGAAACCACAUUAUCAUUUAAACUGCUAUCUGAUAUAACCAGAUAUCACUUGUUUUAUGUUUUCAUAAUGCUUCUUAAUGUAUCAAAAAUCAGUCAAGGAUGUGAUCACAGGAAGAACAUUUUCUCAGAGGAAAAGAGUUACCUGCCAAAGCGUUUCCUACUUCUGGAAUUGAAGAGAUGGUGCUGAGUAAGAAGAAGACUGAUGAACCAAAAUACGCUACUAAGAAAAAGAGAACCAGAUACUCAAAUAAUGGUCCCCCAUGUCCUGCCAGUGAUAGCCCAGCAAAAAAGUGAACAGAGAGAGUAUAGGAUAGUGCCUGCAAAAAUUAAUAUGUAUCUGAGUUCUAUGGGAGCUAAGGUUAAUUCUAUUGAGAAAAAGUAAUAGUCAAAGAGUACUUCUAGGAGGGUCUGUGGGAGAUUGACUAUGCCGUUUGCAACUAUGUAAGAGGAAGUUCUGAAGAAUCUCUGGUUGCGAUGCUUGUUAAAAAUUGGCCUUUGAAGCAUGUAGACAGGAAGCUGUACUAAAUUUAUGAGCAUUAUGGUCAUGGUGGACACAUACCCUAGGGCUCUUAUUGAGUUCAUUUUCUGUUGGUUGUAUUCACCCCCAAGUUUGUAAAAAAGUGUCCCUGCUAACAAACCCAGCACAAUGGCCUGCAAGGUUUAAAGACAGAUUAAUUUUAUAGAAAGAUAUUUUAUUCUUGAUUAGGAU